AUCGCUCGUUUCUCAUACAAGAAGAAAGAAAACACAAACCUUCAUACCUCUGAUUUAGAGGCAUAAAAUCCAAGGGCUGAACUCUCUGUGUUUUGUUUUGUUUUUUCUUUGUUCUUUUUUCCAGCUACCUUUUUCUUGAAAUGCCAUUCAGUUUCUGAAAUGGAUUUUUUUGGUUUGUUGGUUGGAUAAAUGGAUUGAGUAAUUGCUCAAUACCUAGGAUAUUUUGUUCAGCCUGAGCUAUCUUGUUACUGAGAAGAUAUUGACAAACUGAAGGGAGUGCAGAAAAGAGCACCGCAGCAGGUUAGGGUGCAGAGUGACUGAAUCACAAGGAAAGUUGCUGAGAGCUAAACACAGUUUUAGUAAGAGAAAACUACUGUAAUGAUAAGGAGCCUGGAGAAAAUUGGAAGGAGAAAACAUCCAGGAAGGAAAGCAGUUAUUUUGGUUGUUACCUGGAAUAAAACUAGAAGUAAGGAUAUAGAGUUUCAAAGGGAAGCAUCUCAACGAAUCUCAGAAAAAGCUGCCUGUUCAUAAGAUCUACUAGAGCUUGUGAAUACUGUCCCUCAGGUACUUAAAGCCCGGUUUGGUUUCUCCUCACUUAAAACCACUCUGUACAAAACACUGAUAAACAUGGAGCAGGGGAGCACUCCUGCAUGGGGAAGGAGAGGGAUCAGAUGGCCUACAAGGUCUUUUCCAUCUUCCCAUUCAAUAAUAAAGUAAAACCCAAGCACAUAGUGAAUUACAGGGCCAUAAUUUCUUCUCCAGGCUCCACGGACCUACAAGCCACCCAAACUUCACUCCUGUUGUUUAUGAUGUCACCAAAAGCCUGUGAUGGAGUUAUUACCUUGUAAUUCGCUGUCGUCUGUUAGUCAUUUCAUACUCAUCCUUAUGUCCUGUGUGACACAACAACAAAUCAAUAAAGAGGGCACAACUACAGGGAGGAAAGAAAAAACGGACCAUGCUAAGGCCUCACUUCCAAUAAAGAUACCAUGAUGGUAAAAGUUCCCAUUUUAAAUACAGAAAAAGUGAAUAAUACAAAUCCAUCCAUCUUUAGAAUGCAGCAAAUGAGUUUCAGUCUGUGGAAACUUCCUCUACCAAGGAGGAGGGCAUUCUGCUUCAGUGACUCUGACACUUUCGUUUUCCAUAGAAUGAACUAAAACUUCAACAGAAAUCAACCUGCUUGCUCAAGGUAGACGUGUUGUUAAGGUCCUACCAAUUACACUCAUUCCAUACAUGAACAAUGAAACUGGCUUGUGGUUUUUUGUUUUGUUUUGUUUUUUUUGUUUUUUGUCUUUCAUACGGCCCUUGGCAUCAGUGAUGCUUCUUAGCUAUAAACUGAUAAAUA